AACGAACGCUGGCGGCAUGCCUAACACAUGCAAGUCGAACGAGACCUUCGGGUCUAGUGGCGCACGGGUGCGUAACGCGUGGGAACCUGCCCUUAGGUUCGGAAUAACUCCCCGAAAGGGGUGCUAAUACCGGAUAAUGUCUUCGGACCAGAUUUAUCGCCUUUGGAUGGGCCCGCGUUGGAUUAGCUAGUUGGUAGGGUAAAAGCCUACCAAGGCGACGAUCCAUAGCUGGUCUGAGAGGAUGAUCAGCCACACUGGGACUGAGACACGGCCCAGACUCCUACGGGAGGCAGCAGUGGGGAAUAUUGGACAAUGGGCGAAAGCCUGAUCCAGCAAUGCCGCGUGAGUGAUGAAGGCCUUAGGGUUGUAAAGCUCUUUUACCCGGGACGAUAAUGACAGUACCGGGAGAAUAAGCUCCGGCUAACUCCGUG
rnacentral:rRNA from 1 species